ACUGAGCGGCGGACGGGUGAGUAACGCGUGGGUAACCUGCCUCAUACAGGGGGAUAACAGUUGGAAACGGCUGCUAAUACCGCAUAAGCGCACAGUACCGCAUGGUACCGUGUGAAAAACUCCGGUGGUAUGAGAUGGACCCGCGUCUGAUUAGGUAGUUGGUGGGGUAACGGCCUACCAAGCCGACGAUCAGUAGCCGACCUGAGAGGGUGACCGGCCACAUUGGGACUGAGACACGGCCCAAACUCCUACGGGAGGCAGCAUG
rnacentral:rRNA from 1 species